rnacentral:rRNA from 1 species
AAUUUCCUUUAGCGGAGGAAAAGAAACCAACAGGGAUUACCUCAGUAACGGCGAGUGAAGCGGUAACAGCUCAAAUUUGAAAUCUGGCUCUUUUAGGGUCCGAGUUGUAAUUUGUAGAAGAUGCUUCGGGUGUGGCUCCGGUCUAAGUUCCUUGGAACAGGACGUCAUAGAGGGUGAGAAUCCCGUAUGUGACUGGUUGCCUUCGCCCAUGUGAAGCUCUUUCGACGAGUCGAGUUGUUUGGGAAUGCAGCUCUAAAUGGGAGGUAAAUUUCUUCUAAAGCUAAAUAUUGGCCAGAGACCGAUAGCGCACAAGUAGAGUGAUCGAAAGAUGAAAAGCACUUUGGAAAGAGAGUUAAACAGUACGUGAAAUUGUUGAAAGGGAAGCGCUUGCAACCAGACUUGCCUGCCGUCGAUCAUCCUCCGUUCUCGGUGGUGCACUCGGCGGUGGUCAGGCCAGCAUCGGUUUCGGUGGUGGGAUAAAGACCUUAGGAAUGUGGCUCCUCUCGGGGAGUGUUAUAGCCUUCGGUGCAAUGCCGCCUACCGGGACCGAGGACCGCGCUCGGCUAGGUACGACA